GCUAUGCCUCUGGGCGUGGAGGCGGUGGGGUUUCAGACCCUGGGUGUACCUUGGGGUGACUUGAACUCUGUACUGUGCUUGCUCUGGAGAAGGAAACAGGCCGUGAAGGUCACGCUGCUUACAGGCCAAGGCUCUGGGCACCACACUAUGAGGAUGGUUACAUGGCUCUGCGUGAAAGGCGCCCCUGCCUUGCCUCUGCUCUCCGGGACUGGCCACUUCUCUUCGGGACUGCUAGGAUUUCCCUGGGGUGGGUCCAGUCCCCCCAUCCCCAGCCUUGGAUUGGGUCUGCCCUUCUCAUCAGGAGCUCCGAGUCAACCAGGGAUCCAACUGUUUGGUGACCUUACUGAGCUCAGGCCUGGCAGCCCCAGACUCGCCCCCAGCCUCCCCCCGCUGCCUCCACUCAUCCUUGGUGUCAGUUUCCCAGGGCGGUGCCCGCCUGGUGCCCUUUCACUGCGCCCUGGUCCCAGGGGCAGCCCAGCAGGAGAAGUUUCUGUGCUGGGGCCCCAGGAGAGGCUGUUGUCUUGGAGCGGUCCCCUGAGUGGUGCCAAGUGGCGUCUGAGGCGCCUGCCGACUGCCCGUCUGCCCUGGGGUGAAAGUCAGCACUCCCCACACGUGGGAAAGAAGGAAGAAUGCCCAAGUCUUGGUCAGGCCUUAAGCAGGAAGCAUCCCGGGCCCCCAGCUGGGCCUCAGAUAGCUCUCUGGCACCCACUCUGUGCCCAGAGCUCUCAUCUGCAGUUGUAGGACUGGAGGUGAGAGGCCCUGCUCAAAGCCAGAGGACUGCUGCCGUGAGGAAUCGGGGGGUCCCAGGCCCUCCCCCAGCCUCCAGCUUACCCCAUGGUGGCCCCUUGGGCACCUCUGGUGACCCCAGGCCACUGAGGAGCACGGCUUGCAAAGUGCUGAGAUGUUCGACCAAGUUUCUCUCCAGGCUGAACUCUGCCCUGUCUUCCUGAUAGCAGGCUCUCUGGCUGCAAGUGUACUCCUGAUUUAGGGAGAAGGGGCACCUGUGGCCAAAGAGGCUUCGGGCCCUGUAGCCAGAGCAGCCCGAGUCCCAGCUGCUCCCCAUCCUGGCUGUGUGAGCUUGGGCAAGUUACUCAACCCCUUUGAGCCUCCAUUCUUAUUCACAAAAAGGUAGUUGAUAAUAUCUACCUCAAAGCAAGUUUUGAGGACAGAGUAGGAUAAUGCAGGUAAAGGGCAGGCAAGGCCUGGCCCACCUGGGGCCUUGACCCCGUCCUGCCCACAGCGGCCCUCAGGGGCUCCAUCAAGGGGCCCCUACUCUACUAUACCAGCAUGCCCCCUGUGAGGACUUCUCAGAAACAAAGGCAUGCCCUCAAGCUGUUCACUUUUUUUUUUUCUUUUGGCCGCAGCACACAGCAUGUGGGAUCUUAGUUCCCCAGCUGGGGACCAAACUGUCACCCCCUGUAGCAGAAGCACAGAGUCUUAACCCCUGGACCACGAGGGAAGUCCCACGAGUUGUUCACUUUUUAAUCCUNNNNNNNNNNNNNNNNNNNNNNNNNNNNNNNNNNNNNNNNNNNNNNNNNNNNNNNNNNNNNNNNNNNNNNNNNNNNNNNNNNNNNNNNNNNNNNNNNNNGGGAAGUCCCACGAGUUGUUCACUUUUUAAUCCUUUUAUGGUGUGUAUGUGUGAGUCACUCAGUUGUGUCUCUUUGUGACCCCACAGACUGUAGCCCACCCGGCUCCUCUGUCCAUGGAAUUCUCCAGACAAAAAUACUGGAAUGGGUAGCCAUUCCCUUCUCCACGAGAUCUUCCCAACCUAGGGACUGAACCCGAGUCUCCUGCAUUGCAGGCAUAAGUGAAGAAGAUUUCACCUAAACUAAUUGUUAAAGAGCCAAAACAUGUCUGAAUCCUUUAAACACUGCCUUGAAUAUCUGCCUUUGUUUAACUGAAAAGAAAUCUUGAUCAGAAGAUAGCCAAUAAUGCGAGCGUUUUUAAAAGUUCAGUGUUUCUAAUGAAGCUCUCUAGAAACAAGAAAAGAAAGUAGGGAGUGUAUUGAUUAUGGUUCCCAGCCCAGAGGCCGGGUCUUUAUGUGGUUUUGUUAGGUACACGCCCAGAGGCCCCUGGCGUCUGGGCGCUCUAAAGAACCUAGCUCAUCAUCACAAGGGGAGAAGAGGGGUUAUUUCUUAAUCUCCCACCUUUGAAGCUGGUAGAAUUAUCCCCAUUUUAUAGAUGAGGAGACUGAGGUCAAGAAGAUGGAAAGAUACACUGGUCCUGACAUACCCCCUUGAGC
ensembl:lncRNA